rnacentral:lncRNA from 1 species
GCAUGUCACCAUAUAAUUCUUAAUUAAAUAAUAUAUUUAGAGGUAUGAAUGAAGUCUUUUUCAUUCUUGUCAACUCCUUUCUUGCUUUUAAUCUAGUUUUAAGAAACUUAUGUUUUUUAGUCUUUGGCAUUAGCCAUUUUAGUUCUUCUUUGAAUAUACAUACUUUCUUCUAUUUUGUCACUUUUCUUUUGACACAAAUUCUACAAAUUUAUGUAUCUUCUUUCAAUUUGUGUCCUUAAUAUACACAUUCCACGAAUUUAUGUAUCUUCUUCUAAUUCAUGUCCUUGACAGAUUGAUAAGAAUGCACAUACAAUACCAGAGUUUUUUCUUUUCUUGAUUAAGAGUGGAUUAUUCCUUUUUCUUGAUAAGACAUAAGCAUACUAGAAAUUACGGAUUACCCUUCUCUAAACUAAU